rnacentral:rRNA from 1 species
GAUGAACGCUGGCGGCGUGCCUAACACAUGCAAGUCGAGCGAGAAACCAUCGAUUGAAACUUCGGUAGAUAUUGAAGGCGGAAAGCGGCGGACGGGUGAGUAACGCGUAGGCAACCUGCCCUUUGCAGAGGGAUAGCAACGGGAAACUGUUAUUAAAACCUCAUAAUACCGACAUGUCAAAUGACAAGACGGUCAAAGAUUUAUCGGCAAAGGAUGGGCCUGCGUCUGAUUAGUUAGUUGGUAGGGUAACGGCCUACCAAGGCAGCGAUCAGUAGCCGACCUGAGAGGGUGAUCGGCCACAUUGGAACUGAGACACGGUCCAAACUCCUACGGGAGGCAGCAGUGGGGAAUAUUGCACAAUGGGCGAAAGCCUGAUGCAGCAACGCCGCGUGAAGGAUGAAGGCCUUUGGGUCGUAAACUUCUGUCCUUGGGGAAGAAAAAAAUGACGGUACCCCUGGAAGAAGUCCCGGCUAACUACGUGCCAGCAGCCGCUGUAAAAC